rnacentral:piRNA from 1 species
UGAGAUAAUGGGGAUCUCCUGCAAGUAACU